UACGUAGGGUGCAAGCGUUGUCCGGAAUUAUUGGGCGUAAAGAGCUCGUAGGCGGUUUGUCGCGUCUGCUGUGAAACUCGGGGCUCAACCCCGAGCUUGCAGUGGGUACGGGCAGACUAGAGUGCGGUAGGGGAGACUGGAAUUCCUGGUGUAGCGGUGGAAUGCGCAGAGUAUCAGGAGGAACACCGGUGGCGAAGGCGG
rnacentral:rRNA from 1 species